rnacentral:rRNA from 1 species
CGGACGGGUGAGUAAUGUCUGGGAAACUGCCUGAUGGAGGGGGAUAACUACUGGAAACGGAAGCUAAUACCGCAUAACGUCGCAAGACCAAAGAGGGGGACCUUCGGGCCUCUUGCCAUCGGAUGUGCCCAGAUGGGAUUAGCUAGUAGGUGGGGUAACGGCUCACCUAGGCGACGAUCCCUAGCUGGUCUGAGAGGAUGACCAGCCACACUGGAACUGAGACACGGUCCAG